rnacentral:rRNA from 1 species
CAGUCGCCGCGGGAAUACGAAGGGGGCUAGCGUUGCUCGGAAUGACUGGGCGUAAAGCGUGCGUAGGCGGUUCGUUAAGUCUGUUGUGAAAGCCCCGGGCUCAACCUGGGAAUGGCAAUGGAUACUGGCGAGCUAGAGUGUGUCAGAGGAUGGUGGAAUUCCCGGUGUAGCGGUGAAAUGCGUAGAGAUCGGGAGGAACAUCAGUGGCGAAGGCGGCCAUCUGGGACAACACUGACGCUGAGGCACGAAAGCGUGGGGAGCAAACAGGAUUAGAUACCCCUGUAGUCCCUGUCUCUUAUAC